UUGCAGCAAGAGAUCACCACCAAGAGGAGCAACUAAUAAAAUGAUUACUCAAAAACAAAGUAUGUAGUGAUUUGCUCGACUACAAAGAAAGCAAUAAACUACCAAUCUGUCUAUGAUUGACAAGUGAAACUUAUAAUUCAAGGAAACUGAUUAAAACAGCAUUUUCAUCUAUUGAUAGCCUAGAAUGUGAUGGCAAAUCAUGAAACUCUGGAACAAAAGAAAAGCCCCACCUGGGAAGUAAAAGUACUUAUUAAAAAACUGCGGAGCAACUGCAAGUGAUGACAACUACCUUUUUCCUUCCUUGUGUCAGUCCUUAUCUUCUCUUUCUAUACAAAGAGCAACUAACUUCCCCAAUGUAACGCUCUCACUUUAAGUAGUCCAUACAUUCUACUAUUCCGAUGACUAACGUCUGUUCAGACAACUAGGAUGUCUGAAAUUACACUCAAACUAGAGUAAGGAGGCAUAAAUUGAUUGAAUACAGACCAAGAAAAAUUAAGAAAAAA
rnacentral:misc_RNA from 1 species